ACAGAAAAUCCUUCCUGCAGCAUGGGCCAGGUUAUACCGGAUGUCUCAUACAGGCCAGUAUCUUAUUCCAUGCAUGACUUACUCAUGUUGCAAAAGCAGGCCCUUGUGAUUAUAUAACAGCUCUCAAGAGGAAGCUGCUAACAAGACCAUCUGACAUUUUUUUGCCAGCUGUUUUAGUGGAGGCGUGUUGGAUUAGACUGAGCUCCACCUUCUCUGAUGAGCAAAGCAUUUGGAAAAUGACAGAGCCUGAAGAAAAAGGAAUUUCAAAAUCUGGCUCCCCAUUUUCUCCUGAGCAGGUCUGCUCUUCUACAUGUGUGGACAAGUAGGCAAGAGUGGUCUACAAGCUCCUUCUCAGCAAGCCCGGCUGUUAGGAGUCAUGACUUCGCAUGAUGCAGUGACUCCUGCUAAGUUCCUAUUAGUGGAAUCAUCUCACGGUCUUCUGGUAAUUGCUAGAGAAAUUAAUGGAGUCUUUGGAAAAGGUUCUAUGAUAAACAUGAGAUGGUUGAAGAAGAACCUGGUGCACAUCAUGAUCAAAUGUUUUGAUGAAGUAUUUUGCUCCACCAGCCAGAUGAAGGAACAGAUUCCCUGA
rnacentral:lncRNA from 1 species